CAAGUUAAUACAGCGCCUGGACCGUGAGCGAACAUCAAGUAUUGAGCAUGGUUGACGAGGAAGAGGGUUAUCGAAAGAUUCGGCGGAUGCCCUCUCGGUGUCUUGGCACCGCAGGCUUAUUACAAAACCGCGAAGUGAUUUGCGGAACAAAGAGUAAGCAUCAAGGAAC
rnacentral:ncRNA from 2 species